GAUGAAGAACGUAGUGAAAUGCGAUAAGUAAUGUGAAUUGCAGAAUUCAGUGAAUCAUCGAAUCUUUGAACGCACAUUGCGCCCCUUGGUAUUCCGGGGGGCAUGCCUGUUCGAGCGUCAUUAUCACCCCUCAAGCUCAGCUUGGUGUUGGGGCCGGCCCGCUGCGGCCGGCCCUAAAGACAGUGGCGGUGCCGCCUGGCCCUGAGCGUAGUACAUCUCUCGCUCCAGUGCCCGGUGGUAGCCUGCCAGAACCCCAACUCUCGUGGUUGACCUCGGAUCAGGUAGGGAUACCCGCUGAACUUAAGCAUAUCAAUAAGCGGAGGA
rnacentral:misc_RNA from 1 species